rnacentral:rRNA from 1 species
AUUGAACGCUGGCGUCAGGCCUAACACAUGCAAGUCGAGCGGAGCGGCGGACGGGUGAGUAAUGCCUAGGAAUCUUCCUGGUAGUGGGGGAUAACGUCCGGAAACGGGCGCUAAUACCGCAUACUAUCAGAUGAGCCUAGGUCGGAUUAGCUAGUUGGUGGGGUAAAGUCCUACCAAGGCGAAGAUCCGGAACUGGUCUGAGAGGCUGAUCAGUCACACUGACACUGAGAAACGGGCCAGCCGCCUACGGGAGGCAGCAGUGGGGAAUGUUGGACAAUGGGCGAAAGCCUGAUCCAGCCAUGCCGCGUGUGUGAAGAAGGUCUUCGGAUUGUAAAGCACUUUAAGUUGGGAGGCGUUACCAACAGAAUAAGCACCGGCUAACUUCGUGCCAGCAGCAGCGGUAAUUC